UGAGGUAGAGGUCGCGUUUCCAAUGAGUACCUCCGGGGAGGCCGAAAGCCAGAGAUCCGGUGGGAAAGGUGUCGACGCCGAAAUCGCAGAGUCAAAAACUGCGGUUGGGCUUGCAAUCGAACAGAUGCAAGACUGUCUUUGAAGGACUUACCAACCUUCAAAGGAGUGCUAUC
rnacentral:ncRNA from 1 species